UAUACGUUUCGCGAGAAAAAUCACACGCGAGAUGACAGACGCGCAAGAUGACAGAGCAACGAGCGGACGUUCAUUCCGUGGAAGGAAUAUGAGAAAUGAGACAAAGUGAAAAUGACUGUAAGGCGCAUAAAAAUUAUGGUGUUGUCAGAUAACUUCUCUCGCGUAUCCGCGUAUGGAAAUAGAAUUUAGCGACUCCGUCUGAUGAGCGAUGCGUGCUUUCUUCUGCUACCUUAGGCGAAUAAAUGUUUCAUCCAUUUAACCUAUUCAACAUGGCCCUGAACCUUAAGAUCUCUCCCGAGGCGACGACUUUUAGAAUCUUUCGUACUUGGACAAACUUUCAGCCAACAUUUUUUACAAAUAAUUCACUUUUUCUUUCACAAAGAAAUAUUUUUUAAAAAGCUAAGUUGAGAGAGAUUAAACGGUUCAUUAAAAUACUUACUGAUUUUGUUCAAGAAUACUUCUUUCUCGCUCUGUACGAGAUAUUAUUAGGUCAAGAGAGAUAUAUAUAGGAAGAAAGGGAGAGAGAGAUGAUAGAAAUUGAAAUAUCUCCCAAGCAGCAAACUAGAUACACAAUGUUUAUUACUAUAACAAUUUUUUAAAUAAAUUG